UACGGAGAGGCAGCAGUGGGGAAUAUUGCACAAUGGGCGCAAGCCUGAUGCAGCCAUGCCGCGUGUAUGAAAAAGGCCUUCGGGUUGUAAAGUACUUUCAGUCGUGAGGAAGGUGUUAAGGUUAAUAACCUUAGCAAUUGACGUUAGCGACAGAAGAAGCACCGGCUAACUCCGUGCCAGCAGCCGCGGUAAUACGGAGGGUGCGAGCGUUAAUCGGAAUUACUGGGCGUAAAGGGCACGCAGGCGGUUAAUUAAGUUGGAUGUGAAAUCCCCGGGCUUAACCUGGGAAUGGCAUUCAAGACUGGUUAGCUAGAGUCUUGUAGAGGGGGUAGAAUUCCAUGUGUAGCGGUGAAAUGCGUAGAGAUGUGGAGGAAUACCGGUGGCGAAGGCGGCCCCUGGGACAAAGACUGACGCUCAUGUGCGAAAGCGUGGGGAGCAAACGAGGAUUAGAUACC
rnacentral:rRNA from 1 species